UAUUGACUGGAGUUCCGACGUUGCUUUUUGAUCCUUUGAUGUCAGCUCUUCCUAUCAUUGUGAAGCAGAAUUCACCAAGCGUUGGAUUGUUCACCCAAUAACAGGGAAUGUGAGCUGGG